rnacentral:rRNA from 1 species
AUACGUAGGUGACAAGCGUUAUCCGGAUUUAUUGGGUUUAAAGGGUGCGUAGGCGGAUGAUUAAGCGUGAGGUGAAAUGCCACUGCUCAACAGUGGAACUGCCUCGCGAACUGGUUGUCUUGAAUGCUCCUGCCGUGGGAGGAAUGUGUGGUGUAGCGGUGAAAUGCAUAGAGAUCACACAGAACACCGAUUGCGAAGGCAUCUCACGAAGGGGUGAUUGACGCUGAGGCACGAAAGCGUGGGGAUCAAACAGGAUUAGAUACCCUGGUAGUCCACGCAGUAAACGAUGAUAACUAACCGCUGGGUCGUAGUGAUUCAGUGGCCAAGCGAAAGCGAUAAGUUAUCCACCUGGGGAGUACGACCGCAAGGUUGAAACUCAAAUGAAUUGGCGGG